GUUCUUUGCGCACAGAUAGGAAUUGUCAGUUGCUCCGUUGUUCCACGGUCCUCGCCCGGACCCGACACGAUUGAGAUGCCAUCAGGAGAAUCCUUGGGGAGCCCAAGGAUUCAUAUGCGGUCUACUGGAUCGUUUGUAUUUCCGGGACUGAAAGCUUCUUCGGGAGGCGCGUGAAUGCUGUUUGGUUAGCACUUUGCCUUUCGGAGCUCUGUGAGGACUUUUAGCGGCCGUGAGUUUUCAAGAGACUUCCAAAAGUUUAAACAAUUGACUUCCAAAAAUGCGUUGUGCGGGCCCCGGCCGUUACGAGAGUCUUAAAGAGUUUAAGCCUUUCUUGAAGCCAUCGCGUCUUUAUCUGUUAAGGUUCCGCUGCCUUUUAUAUCGGCGAUGCAUAUCCGUAGUAACCAAGACAUGCCCACUUCGCGUUUUCUGUUGCUUAUACAUGUGGGAAAUUCUGUAAUAGUAAGCGGGGCGAGCUACCGCAUGUAUUGUUCGUUAUCUUUUUGCUGCUGGGCACACACGCGCACCGGGUAAGUUGGAUAGUCGGACAAGGGCUCGCUUCAGGGGAUCCUCGGGUCUUUCGCUUGGCGAUUCCCAAUCGAAAGCGCAUUACGUCGCUGCCGCCAGCUCAGAAAACACGGAUCUGUCCGAUUCCUGGAGCCCGGUCAGAUGAACACAAAGGGGGGAACACCGCAAAAAAAAAACCGGCAUCCGCAAGUCCCGCUCCUUCAGAAACGAAACAGAUGUGUGGAAAUGAACGAUUCGUUGCUUGCUUACUAAUCUGUACACCUGUAAACGUGUGACCAACGUGGUUUCGGCUUCGUGGCGACUGUUUCCGGCCCAAAUGUUGUCAUCGGCAUGGGAAACGGAGAACGAAAAAACACAGCAGAAGCCUCGAAAGGGUAGCAGUGUUACUGCAGGGGCACCUUUUACAGCUUGUUCUGAAGUCGAUCCAUAGCAGAAGAUGCUUAAAAAGAUUCACUCUCCCACGCGAUACGAGAUUAGGGUACCGGCAGCACGGCACCGGCCGGUAACACUUUCGCG
rnacentral:lncRNA from 1 species